rnacentral:rRNA from 1 species
CAACAUUGAACCUUCGGGGGAUUUGUUGGGCGGCGAGCGGCGGACGGGUGAGUAAUGCCUAGGAAAUUGCCCUGAUGUGGGGGAUAACCAUUGGAAACGAUGGCUAAUACCGCAUGAUGCCUACGGGCCAAAGAGGGGGACCUUCGGGCCUCUCGCGUCAGGAUAUGCCUAGGUGGGAUUAGCUAGUUGGUGAGGUAAGGGCUCACCAAGGCGACGAUCCCUAGCUGGUCUGAGAGGAUGAUCAGCCACACUGGAACUGAGACACGGUCCAGACUCCUACGGGAGGCAGCAGUGGGGAAUAUUGCACAAUGGGCGCAAGCCUGAUGCAGCCAUGCCGCGUGCAUGAAGAAGGCCUUCGGGUUGUAAAGUACUUUCAGUAGGGAGGAAGGUUCAUGCGUUAAUAGCGUAUGGAUUUGACGUUACCUACAGAAGAAGCACCGGCUAACUCCGUGCCAGCAGCCGCGGUAAUACGGAGGGUGCGAGCGUUAAUCGGAAUUACUGGGCGUAAAGCGCAUGCAGGUGGUUAGUUAAGUCAGAUGUGAAAGCCCGGGGCUCAACCUCGGAAUUGCAUUUGAAACUGGCUGACUAGAGUACUGUAGAGGGGGGUAGAAUUUCAGGUGUAGCGGUGAAAUGCGUAGAGAUCUGAAGGAAUACCGGUGGCGAAGGCGGCCCC